rnacentral:rRNA from 1 species
CAUCCUCCAAGGCUAAAUACUCCUGACUGACCGAUAGUGAACCAGUACCGUGAGGGAAAGGCGAAAAGAACCCCGGCGAGGGGAGUGAAAAAGAACCUGAAACCGUGUACGUACAAGCAGUGGGAGCACAGGUUUACCUGUGUGACUGCGUACCUUUUGUAUAAUGGGUCAGCGACUUAUAUUCUGUAGCAAGGUUAACCGCAUAGGGGAGCCGGAGGGAAACCGAGUCUUAAUUGGGCGUUAAGUUGCAGGGUAUAGACCCGAAACCCGGUGAUCUAGCCAUGGGCAGGUUGAAGGUUGGGUAACACUAACUGGAGGACCGAACCGACUAAUGUUGAAAAAUUAGCGGAUGACCUGUGGCUGGGGGUGAAAGGCCAAUCAAACCGGGAGAUAGCUGGUUCUCCCCGAAAGCUAUUUAGGUAGCGCCUCGUGAAUUCAUCUCCGGGGGUAGAGCACUGUUUCGGCUAGGGGGCCAUCCCGGCUUACCAACCCGAUGCAAACUGCGAAUACCGGAGAAUGUUAUCACGGGAGACACACGGCGGGUGCUAACGUCCGUCGUGAAGAGGGAAACAACCCAGACCGCCAGCUAAGGUCCCAAAGUCAUGGUUAAGUGGGAAACGAUGUGGGAAGGCCCAGACAGCCAGGAUGUUGGCUUAGAAGCAGCCAUCAUUUAAAGAAAGCGUAAUAGCUCACUGGUCGAGUCGGCCUGCGCGGAAGAUGUAACGGGGCUAAACCAUGCACCGAAGCUGCGGCAGCGACACUCAGGUGUUGUUGGGUAGGGGAGCGUUCUGUAAGCCUGCGAAGGUGGCCUGUGAGGGUUGCUGGAGGUAUCAGAAGUGCGAAUGCUGACAUAAGUAACGAUAAAGCGGGUGAAAAGCCCGCUCGCCGGAAGACCAA